CAUGCAAGUCGAGCGGCAGCACGGGUACUUGUACCUGGUGCGAGCGGCGGACGGGUGAGUAAUGCCUAGGAAUCUGCCUGGUAGUGGGGGAUAACGCUCGGAAACGGACGCUAAUACCGCAUACGUCCUACGGGAGAAAGCAGGGGACCUUCGGGCCUUGCGCUAUCAGAUGAGCCUAGGUCGGAUUAGCUAGUUGGUGAGGUAAUGGCUCACCAAGGCGACGAUCCGUAACUGGUCUGAGAGGAUGAUCAGUCACACUGGAACUGAGACACGGUCCAGACUCCUACGGGAGGCAGCAGUGGGGAAUAUUGGACAAUGGGCGAAAGCCUGAUCCAGCCAUGCCGCGUGUGUGAAGAAGGUCUUCGGAUUGUAAAGCACUUUAAGUUGGGAGGAAGGGCAGUUACCUAAUACGUAAUUGUUUUGACGUUACCGACAGAAUAAGCACCGGCUAACUCUGUGCCAGCAGCCGCGGUAAUACAGAGGGUGCAAGCGUUAAUCGGAAUUACUGGGCGUAAAGCGCGCGUAGGUGGUUCGUUAAGUUGGAUGUGAAAGCCCCGGGCUUAACCUGGGAACUGCAUUCAGGACUGGUUAACUCGAGUCUGGGAGAGGGUGGUGGAAUUUCCGGUGUAGCGGUGAAAUGCGUAGAUAUCGGAAGGAACAUCAGUGGCGAAGGCGACCGCCUGGCCUAAGACUGACACUGAGGCACGAAAGCGUGGGGAGCAAACAGGAUUAGAUACCCUGGUAGUCCACGCCGUAAACGAUGUCGACUAGCCGUUG
rnacentral:rRNA from 1 species